AGAUAGCACCAAAAGUGAAGAAGGAAGCUCCUGCCCCUCCUAAAGCCAAAGCCAAAGCGAAGGCUUUAAAGGCCAAGAAGGCAGUGUUGAAAGGUGUCCACAGCAACACACAAAAAAGAAGAUCCGCAUGUCACUCACCUUGAGGUGGCCCAAGACACUGCAACUCUGGAGGCAGCCCAAAUAUCCUUGGAAGAGCACCCCCAGGAGAAACAAGCUUGACCACUAUGCUAUCAUCAAGUUUCCGCUGACCACUGAGUCGGCCAUGAAGAAGAUAGAAGAAAACAACAUGCUUCUGUUUAUUGUGGAUGUUAAAGCCAACAAGCACCAGAUCAAACAGGCUGUGAAGAAGCUCUGGGACAUGGAUGUGGCCACAGUCAACAUCCUGAUUCGACCUGAUAAAGAGAAGAAGGCAAAUGUUCGACUGGCUCCUGAUUGUGAUGCUUUGGAUGUUGCAACAAAAUUGGGAUCAUCUAAACCGAGUCCAGCUGGCUAACUCUAAAUAUAUGUAUAUCUUUUCACCAUAAAAAAGAAAUAAUGUUUUUAAUAAGAAUGACAACUUAAUUAGAAUCAAAUCUAUAAGCUGUAAGAUUUUACAUUUCUAGUAAGUAUAAUAUUAGCUUAUUUGACUAGAACUCAAGCAGAAUAGGAAUUUAUGCUUGUUUUAAAUUCAAUAGUGGUAACUUUGAAGACAUAGUGGUUUUAUUAUACCAAAAAUAUUAUAUUAACCUUAUUUAACUUAGUUUUAUCCAAAUCAUGUUAACUUAAAAAACAUUUGAUCAGUUCCUAUA